rnacentral:rRNA from 1 species
CUUUGAGGUUCUAACUCAGGUCCGUCAUCCGGAUCGAGGACAGUGUAUGGUGGGUAGUUUGACUGGGGCGGUCUCCUCCCAAAGAGUAACGGAGGAGUACGAAGGUGCGCUCAGACCGGUCGGAAAUCGGUCGUAGAGUAUAAAGGCAAAAGCGCGCUUGACUGCGAGACAAACACGUCGAGCAGGUACGAAAGUAGGUCUUAGUGAUCCGGUGGUUCUGUAUGGAAGGGCCAUCGCUCAACGGAUAAAAGGUACUCCGGGGAUAACAGGCUGAUACCGCCCAAGAGUUCAUAUCGACGGCGGUGUUUGGCACCUCGAUGUCGGCUCAUCACAUCCUGGGGCUGAAGCCGGUCCCAAGGGUAUGGCUGUUCGCCAUUUAAAGUGGUACGCGAGCUGGGUUUAGAACGUCGUGAGACAGUUCGGUCCCUAUCUGCCGUGGACGUUUGAGAUUUGAGAGGGGCUGCUCCUAGUACGAGAGGACCGGAGUGGACGAACCUCUGGUGUUCCGGUUGUCACGCCAGUGGCAUUGCCGGGUAGCUAUGUUCGGAAGAGAUAACCGCUGAAAGCAUCUAAGCGGGAAACUUGCCUCAAGAUGAGAUCUCACUGGGAUCUUGAAUCCCCUAAAGGGCCGUCGAAGACUACGACGUUGAUAGGUUGGGUGUGUAAGCGCUGUGAGGCGUUGAGCUAACCAAUACUAAUUGCCCGUGAGGCUUGACCAU